rnacentral:tRNA from 1 species
AAUAUCUUUAGUAUAUAAACUACAGUACGCCUUCCUUCCAAGAAGAAAGAUUAUUAUUAUUAAAAGAUAUA